GUCCACGCUGUAAACGAUGUCAACUAGCCGUUGGUCCUAUUUACAGGAUUAGUGGCGCAGCCAACGCAUUAAGUUGACCGCCUGGGGAGUACGGCCGCAAGGUUAAACUCAAAUGAAUUGACGGGGCCCGCACAAGCGGUGGAGCAUGUGGUUUAAUUCGAUGCAACGCGAAGAACCUUACCUACCCUUGACAUCCAGAGAAUCUGUUAGAGAUAGUAGAGUGCCUUCGGGAGCUCUGAGACAGGUGCUGCAUGGCUGUCGU
rnacentral:rRNA from 1 species